rnacentral:sRNA from 1 species
UCUUUGCCAGUGUGUGGUUUGGGAGUUCUGUGAAGUGUUUGCAGUCGCUACUAAUAAUCCAGGUGACACGGCAAACAUUGCUGUUCCCUUGGUCCAGCACAAAUAGAGGAGGGUUCACUCAUAGGCAGCAUCUGAGCAACAGGCUCACCAGAUAUCAGCCUCUCCACACCGACUCUUCCAAACUCCAGCUCUCUUCAUUAAGAUAUUCUGGAAGCAACUGAGGAGUUUCUACAAACGUCUGGGAAAUUACAAUUCAAGUGGAAGUUUGUUUUCCUUUCAGUUAAGGUACGAGCUGUUCUGACUGCCGUGCAGGCAUUCACACGCCCGCUGCUAGAAAGCUGGAGCUGGAAGGAGCACUGGGGCCCGCUGAGUCCUCCUUUCUCAUGUAUGGAUGUGGAUGUGGAGGCAGGCCCUAAGUAUUAGUGUAGGUGCCGACGGUGCAGGUUGACUCACUUAAAGAAGAAUUUGAAUCAUUAUCUAACAGAAAAAAGACCAAUAACAAGCAUUAUUGCUGGAACAUUUUAUGGGUAGACUGCUUUCUAUACAUGAUUGGUGAACAUUGUAUUUCAAUUAAUUAUAUAUCCUGAUAAUAUAUGAAUUAAUACUGUGAUAUCAUGCAUACAAUAACAAUACUCAAUGGAAAUAUAGCAAAACAGAAAUGAAAAUAA